AUGCCGGGUCACUGGAUCCGGGAUUGCGACAAGAGGAAAGCCGACGAGGCAGCCGCGGUAACGGCAAACAUCGUCCAGGCUGACAUGGACAGCGGGCCGGCAAUGAUGCUGGCAAGAGUCGAGCCCGUGCAGGAGAGCUCAGCGUCUCCUGCGACCACAAAGUCGACAACCACCCAUUCCGUGCAGAAGGCACGGAACCCGUCCACGGAAACCAUCACUCCAGUGAAAGGCCACACCUCGACAAUGACGUUCUCGGGGCCUGUUGACUGGGAGGCGAUGAAGGCCCGGGUGUGGGGGAGCCACACCCCGGUGAUGGCGUCUCCGGCAACCUCGGGACCCGAUAAGGUCGCAGAAGUUGGCGCGGCAAUGACGCAUAUGGCGGACCAUGCUCCGACCAUGAUGCUGGCGACCAUCGACUCCGUGCGGGAGCGCACGGAGACUCAGGUCAUCCACACCCCAAUGCCGAAGUGUUCGGGGUCCACCGUGAUGAUGGAAGACGGCUCCCCGACAAUGGUGUGUGCGUGCGGCUACGUCUUCCUCAACGAGGAGAGAGCCGUGACCACACCCACGCUUGCAGGCGGCAAGCAAAGUGAGGGUUGGUUCCUCGACACCAGCGCCACGAACCACAUGACUAGUUCGGUCGAGGCGUUCACGGAGCUGGACCAUUCAAUCACCGGGAAGGCGCGGUUCGCGGACGGAUCCGUGGUGGAGAUCCACGGGUGCGGGACCGUCGUCUUCGCCGACAAAGGGGGUGAUCACAGGGCGUUCACGGACGUCUACUUCAUCCCGGUGCUCAAGAGCAGCGUCGUGAGUGUCGGACAGCUCGACGAGGGUUGGUUCGACAUCGGCAUCCGGCAUGGUGUUCUCACCGCGCGCGACCAGCAGAAGAGGCUACUUAACGAGGUAACCCGCUCGCCAAACCGCCUCUAUAAAUUCUUCAUUCAACUUGUGCAUCCUGUGUGGCUUGCCAUGGGUCAUGUCUCCGACGCAUGGCGUUGGCAUGCCAGGCUAGGACACCAACACUUUGACGGGUUGCGGAAGAUGGCGCGAGGCAACCUCGUUCAUGGGCUACCUCACAUCUAG
rnacentral:rRNA from 1 species